UACGAAGGGGGCUAGCGUUGCUCGGAAUUACUGGGCGUAAAGGGCGCGUAGGCGGAUAGUUUAGUCAGAGGUAAAAGCCCAGGGCUCAACCUUGGAACUGCCUUUGAUACUGGCUAUCUUGAGUUCGGGAGAGGUGAGUGGAAUGCCGAGUGUAGAGGUGAAAUUCGUAGAUAUUCGGCGGAACACCAGUGGCGAAGGCGACUCACUGGACAUGUAUUGACGCUGAGGUACGAAAGCGUGGGGAGCAAACAGG
rnacentral:rRNA from 1 species